rnacentral:rRNA from 1 species
UACGUAGGGAGCAAGCGUUGUCCGGAAUCAUUGGGCGUAAGCGCGCGUAGGCGGCCCCGUAAGUCCGCUGUGAAAGUCAAAGGCUCAACCUUUGAAAGCCGGUGGAUACUGUGGGGCUAGAGUCCGGAAGAGGCGAGUGGAAUUCCUGGUGUAGCGGUGGAAUGCGCAGAUAUCAGGAGGAACACCAAUAGCGAAGGCAGCUCGCUGGGACGGUACUGACGCUAAGCGCGAAAGCGUGGGAGCAACAGG